rnacentral:rRNA from 1 species
GAUGAGCGCUGGCGGCGUGCUUAACACAUGCAAGUCGAACGGAAAGGCUCCUGCUUGCAGGGGUACUCGAGUGGCGAACGGGUGAGUAACACGUGGGUGAUCUGCCCUGCACUUCGGGAUAAGCCUGGGAAACUGGGUCUAAUACCGGAUAGGACGAUGGUUUGGAUGCCAUUGUGGAAAGUUUUUCGGUGUGGGAUGAGCUCGCGGCCUAUCAGCUUGUUGGUGGGGUAAUGGCCUACCAAGGCGUCGACGGGUAGCCGGCCUGAGAGGGUGUACGGCCACAUUGGGACUGAGAUACGGCCCAGACUCCUACGGGAGGCAGCAGUGGGGAAUAUUGCACAAUGGGCGCAAGCCUGAUGCAGCGACGCCGCGUGGGGGAUGACGGCCUUCGGGUUGUAAACUCCUUUCGCUAGGGACGAAGCGCAAGUGACGGUACCUGGAGAAGAAGCACCGGCUAACUACGU